UACAGAGGGUGCGAGCGUUGUCCGGAAUCAUUGGGCGUAAAGCGCGUGUAGGCGGUUCAGUAAGUCUGCUGUGAAAGUCCAGGGCUCAACCCUGGGAUGCCGGUGGAUACUGCUGGGCUAGAGUACGGAAGAGGCGAGUGGAAUUCCCGGUGUAGCGGUGAAAUGCGCAGAUAUCGGGAGGAACACCAAUUGCGAAGGCAGCUCGCUGGGACGUCACUGACGCUGAGACGCGAAAGCGUGGGGAGCAAACAGG
rnacentral:rRNA from 1 species